GAUGAACGCUAGCGGCAGGCUUAAUACAUGCAAGUCGAGGGGCAACAUGGUGUAGCAAUACACUGAUGGCGACCGGCAAACGGGUGCGGAACACGUACAGAACCUUCCUUCGAGCGGGGAAUAGCCCAGAGAAAUUUGGAUUAAUACCCCAUAGUAUAAUGAAGAGGCAUCUCUUUAUUAUUAAAGAUUUAUCACUUGAAGAUGGCUGUGCGGCUGAUUAGGUAGUUGGCGGGGUAACGGCCCACCAAGCCUACGAUCAGUAACUGGUGUGAGGGCACGACCAGAAGGACGGUCACUAAGACGCGGGCCCGACUGCUACGUGAAGCAGCAGUAAAGAAUAUUGGUCUAUGGACAGAUGUCUGAACCAGACAUGCCGCGUGGAGGAUGAAGGUCCUCUGGAUUGUAAACUUCUUUUAUACGAGACAAAAAAAGACUUUUCUAAGUCGUCUGACGGUACCAUAUGAAUAAGCACCGGCUAACUCCGUGCCAGCCGCCGCUGUAACAC
rnacentral:rRNA from 1 species